UACGAAGGGGGCUAGCGUUGCUCGGAAUCACUGGGCGUAAAGCGCACGUAGGCGGCUUUUUAAGUCAGGGGAUGAAAUCCGUGGAGCCUCAACUCCAGAACUGCCUUUGAUACUGGGAGCUUGAGUCCGGGAGAGGUGAGUGGAACUCCGAGUGUAGAGGUGAAAUUCGUAGAUAUCGGAAGAACACCAGUGGCCGAAGGCGGGCUCACUGGCCCCGGUACUGAC
rnacentral:rRNA from 1 species